GGUUAAGCGACUAAGCGUACACGGUGGAUGCCUAGGCAAUCAGAGGCGAUGAAGGACGUGCUAAUCUGCGAUAAGCGUCGGUAAGGUGAUAUGAACCGUUACAACCGACGAUUUCCGAAUGGGGAAACCCAGUGCAAUUCGUUGCACUAUCGUUUGAUGAAUACAUAGUCAAACGAAGCGAACCGGGGGAACUGAAACAUCUCAGUACCCCGAGGAAAAGAAAUCAACCGAGAUUCCCCUAGUAGCGGCGAGCGAACGGGGAGCAGCCCAGAGUCUGUCUCUUAUACCACAUCU
rnacentral:rRNA from 1 species